rnacentral:tRNA from 1 species
AGAAUAAAUAAAUUAAAGCUGCUAACUUUAAAAAAUACUAAAAUGUAUAUAUUCUU